GUGGGGAAUAUUGGGCAAUGGGCGAAAGCCUGACCCAGCAACGCCGCGUGAAGGAAGAAGGUCUUCGGAUCGUAAACUUCUAUCCUUGGUGAAGAUAAUGACGGUAGCCGAGAAGGAAGCCCCGGCUAACUACGUGCCAGCAGCCGCGGUAAUACGUAGGGGGCAAGCGUUGGCCGGAAUGAUUGGGCGUAAAGGGCGCGUAGGCGGCCUGGUAAGUCUGGAGUGAAAGUCCUGCUUUUAAGGUGGGAAUUGCUUUGGAUACUGUCGGGCUUGAGUGCAGGAGAGGUAAGUGGAAUUCCCGGUGUAGCGGUGAAAUGCGUAGAGAUCGGGAGGAACACCAGUGGCGAAGGCGACUUACUGGACUGUAACUGACGCUGAGGCGCGAAAGUGUGGGGAGCAAACAGGAUUAGAAACCCGGGUAGUCC
rnacentral:rRNA from 1 species